rnacentral:rRNA from 1 species
CCUACGGGGGGCAGCAGUGGGGAAUAUUGCACAAUGGGGGAAACCCUGAUGCAGCAACGCCGCGUGAGUGAGGAAGUAUUUCGGUAUGUAAAGCUCUAUCAGCAGGGAAGAAGAAAGACGGUACCUGACUAAGAAGCCCCGGCUAACUACGUGCCAGCAGCCGAGGAAAUAAGUAGGGGGCAAGCGUUAUCCGGAUUUACUGGGGGUAAAGGGAGCGAAGACGGCUGUGCAAGGAUGAAGCGAAAGCGCGUGGAUCAA